rnacentral:lncRNA from 1 species
AGCCAAAGUCCACUCCCAGGAAAGACAGGUUUUACUUAAUUCUUUCUGAUUUUUUCUCUUCCUUAAUGGCCUUAAUUGAUUUCCUUUCCCUGUGGCUGCAGGCCCGGAUUACCAACUUUCCUCAGAGCCUGAAGGUACAGGACACUUCUGAAGUCUCGAGGCAAUGUAAUUAAUCAGCUAUGCGGAGAGAUGGAGUCCAGUUAAACUAUCAGCCACUACUGGCGAUCUGCAGUGGAGCCAUGCUGAUCCUGCAGUACGUGAGGCAGAACUCCCUGUAUGAGCCAUUAAAAGAAGUCAGAUCCUGCUGAGGAGGAGAGUUCUUCCCUGGACCUUCCAUAUCUCCUUUGAUCAAGCUUCCUAGAUCUCUCCCCUGAAAUGCAGCAUCUGAUCUGGUCAAAUUUUGGAGAGGACUUGGUGGCUCAUGAAGAUCCCACCUCAGGGCCAGAAGAAAUCUAGGCGGUGUCACAGCGAUGGCAAAAUGCUCUGCAGGACAGUCACAUACCCAGCCAGAGAGGACUGCAAGAAGAGCAGACCCACGCCAAGUGUUCCUAUCCACGGUUUUGUUUUUAAAGAAGAAGUGGAUACCUCCCUGCAUGGCUGCAAUACCCGCCGGGUCGCAGACGCUGCUGGCUUGCCGCCUCGCCAGCCCGCCAUUCCCACUGCGAUGCCAGCCCCAUCACCAGCUCUCUGCCGCCCCGGCCAAAAUCCUUCCUGGCAUUUGAGCAAGGAUUUUGCUGGUGCAGUCAAGUCACCCUCGGUGUCACCAGCGGGGAGAGGGCAACCAAGCCCACUGAGAGGGCUGCCCUCUCCUCCAGCAGGGAGCUGCCCAUGCAACAGGGUGCACUGCUUAAGUGCCCUCUGCCCCAGGCAUGUUUCUAUUUCAAAACAAAACAACAACCAAAAAAACACAAGGCUAUGGAGGGGAGUGAAGCAAGCUGUUCAAACCAGCAGGAGGUCCCACCACUGCCAAGAGGGGCAUCUCCUCCCUGUGAUCCCUCAGUGGGGUGGAGGAGCUCACCGGGCCCCUGGGAACCAGGUUGCCUCACAAAGCUUGCUGAAAAUUCCCAUUUUUAUUAUCAUUUCUUUUUCUUUUUUUUUUUUUUUUUUUUUUCCUCUGGGAAAGGCAAUGGGCUUGUCCAGCAGGAGGUCCAGGAGCAAGCAGGGGAGAGGGGACAGUGGCAGAGGGCAGCAGGAGGCAGACCCUCCCCUCCGGCUGGGGCUCGCAUUGGUGCGGCUUCUCCCCACCGGCCCCCACCCCGCUCCUCCCACCGCCAGCAAUGCAGGGGACGGAGGAGAUCAAUCAUGGAUGGGGAGAGUUCAUUGCGAUGGGUUCACGUCUUUGUUUUUCCCUUAA